rnacentral:rRNA from 1 species
AGUAGUUUGAUCAGUGGCUCGAGGACGAACGCUGGCGGCGUGCUUCAUACAUGCAAGUCGAACGAGAAUCUCCAGCUUGCUGGAGAGGAAAGUGGCGGACGGGUGAGUAAUAUGUAGAGAAUCUGCCCUAGAGAGAGGGACAACAGAGGGAAACUCCUGCUAAUACCUCAUAUGCGCGUAGCUGAGAUGCUAUUCGUGAAAACUCCGGUGCUCUAGGAUGAGUCUGCAUCUGAUUAGUUAGUUGGCGGUGUAAUGGACCACCAAGGCGACGAUCAGUAGCUGGUUUGAGAGGAUGAUCAGCCACAAUGGGACUGAGACACGGCCCAUACUCC